CUGGAACCCGGAUGGAUGUGAUCUGAUAAACCUCAGUUUGUUCCUGCUGCCCUACUUGUACAAAAUAAUGCCAAGUUACAAAAUGCUUCCUUCUAGAUGACAGAUGUUCUGGACGUAGCACCCAGGUUGCCAACUCAUCAAAUGGAGUGAUCAGUGGAGAUGGUCAAAGGCCUCUGAAGGAAGGUUGGGCUCUAAAUAAAAGAAAACAUCAGAAGACACAAAAAUUGUGGCAAUGUAUUAGUGGAUAUUUCUUGCAUGAGCUUCAGUCUUUCUCAUCUGGAAGCACAAAGAAGUCCCCACAAGAAAUGAACUAUGAAGGUAUUCCAACUAAGGUUAGACCAAAUCUAGAAUGUAGGGGGUUUGGGUAAUGUGUUUAAUGCCUAAAGGAAGAACAGAGAAAUGAGAGCUC
rnacentral:lncRNA from 1 species